rnacentral:rRNA from 1 species
AGCAGCCGCGGUAAUUCCAGCUCCAAUAGCGUAUAUUAAAGUUGUUGCAGUUAAAAAGCUCGUAGUUGAAUUUCGGGAUCAAUAUAUCGGUCGUGCCUCCGGUAUGCACUGGUAUUAUUGAUUUCUACCUUCUGACGAACCAUGAUGUCAUUAAUUUGGUGUCAUGGGGAAUCAGGACUGUUACUUUGAAAAAUUAGAGUGUUUAAAGCAGGCACACGCUUGAAUACAUUAGCAUGGAAUAAUGAAAUAGGACGUUUGACCCUAUUUUGUUGGUUUCUAGGAUCGACGUAAUGAUUAAUAGGGAUAGUUGGGGGCAUUAGUAUUCAAUUGUCAGAGGUGAAAUUCUUGGAUUUAUUGAAGACUAACUACUGCGAAAGCAUUUGCCAAGGAUGUUUUCAUUAAUCAAGAACGAAAGUUAGGGGAUCGAAGACGAUCAGAUACCGUCGUAGUCUUAACCAUAAACUAUGCCGACUAGGGAUCGGAUGAUGUUAAUUUUAAUGACUCAUUC